GCUACGUCGUGAAUAACAAUGGUCGUUUUGUUGCCUUGAAAUAAUUGUAAUAGUAAGUCUGCUGAACCCAAUAAAGAAACAAAUAUACCGCAAUUUGUUAUCAACAACUGCACGUAGGUGUACACACUUCAUAUUCGUUGAAUGAUUCAACAUCAUCUUCUUUUCGCCGAUUUGCUGUUUAUCAUGACGUAUUUCGUAUUUUACAUUCAAGACCGCUAGUUCUUAAUUUACUCGUAGCCUUUCAUGUGUGCAUGUUUCACCAAUCAAGUGACUUUAAAAAAUGUGCAUGCAGUGUUGAAAACAAAAUGGUAACAGUGACUGAAGUUAAAGGAAAUUUUAAUACGCCAGAAGUGUCACCGGAGGAUACCUUGAGGGAAGAACGACGCAGAACCGGAAGAUAUGUAGCAACUGUGAUAGCAAUUUUCGUCUCUCUGUUUGGUUUGUAUCAAGCAAUGGCCCGAGGGACUCCGGAGUAUGCAGCCUUUUUUUUGCCAGCGUUGAUUAUGUUCCUUUAUGUGCUGUGGAUUUUAUACGCUUCUAGAGCUCGUAGCAAACAUUUCAGUGACGAAUUACAUAAUGAUGGAAAAGAAACUGUUGAAGAGAUCGUGGAAAAUGCUGCGUGUGAAAUUAGUACUGAAAACCCUAAAUCAUCGACUUCAGAUGUGGACCACACCUUUUCUAGGUCUUAUUCGAUUGCAUAAAAUAUAGUCACAUCGUCACAUCGCGGUUUGCAUAUUGCGUGUAAACAACUACCAAUAGUAUUAAUAUUUUUUCCUGUAGAUAUAAAAUUUGUAAUACUUUUUAUAAAAUUCGAAGAAAUUAAUUAUAAAUUCUAAAAAUUCA